UUGAGUUAGGUCUGUGAUUGAAAGUCGAUGCCAGUCGCAGGCAAAACGAUCCACGUAAAUUAAAUAAAAUGUUUAAUGAUCAUGGUGCGGCUUAGAAGUAAGUCCUGCCGAAGAGAUACGCUUUGUAUCUUAACGAGAGUGUAAGUAGUGAGAGGGUAAUUCUGGGUAGCAAAAGCUCCAGCAGGCGAGUGUGGGGUCAAAGAUCAGGUCAGCUAACUUAA
rnacentral:ncRNA from 1 species